GGGCAGCUUUCAGGUAUUGAUGUCAGAAAUAGUUCGAGAAGUUUCCUACCGGCUCUGCAGCAACCGGAGGUCUACGGGAUACGGGAGAAGAUUUAAACGAUAAGUUUCAACUUAAUCUAGUAACUUUUCUAUUCGAUUCAAUAUUUGCUUUUGUUUUCAUUUUUCUCUUUUCAGGUACGCGGUUUCAGAUCAGCAGCUGAGAAAAUACCAAGGGAUUUUCCUACUUCAUCGGUGAGCUCGUAUGAACUUGUUCCCACUCUCGCCCGGAUUAUACACGGAACGUAGUAUGGACCCAGUUUGGCAUUGUAUUUCGCCGGGGCCG